ACGAACGCUGGCGGCAUGCCUAACACAUGCAAGUCGAACGAGACCUUCGGGUCUAGUGGCGCACGGGUGCGUAACGCGUGGGAACCUGCCCUUAGGUUCGGAAUAACUCCCCGAAAGGGGUGCUAAUACCGGAUAAUGUCUUCGGACCAAAGAUUUAUCGCCUUUGGAUGGGCCCGCGUUGGAUUAGCUAGUUGGUAGGGUAAAAGCCUACCAAGGCGACGAUCCAUAGCUGGUCUGAGAGGAUGAUCAGCCACACUGGGACUGAGACACGGCCCAGACUCCUACGGGAGGCAGGAGGGGGGAAUAUUGGAAAAUGGGCGAAAGCCUGAUCCAGCAAUGCCGCGUGAGUGAUGAAGGCCUUAGGGUUGUAAAGCUCUUUUACCCGGGAUGAUAAUGACAGUACCGGGAGAAUAAGCUCCGGCUAACUCCGUG
rnacentral:rRNA from 1 species